UACAGAGGUGGCAAGCGUUGUUCGGAAUUACUGGGCGUAAAGGGCGUGUAGGCGGUCGCCUAAGUCAGACGUGAAAUCCCCAAGCUUAACUUGGGAGCUGCGUCUGAUACUGGGUGGCUUGAGUUCGGGAGAGGAAUGUGGAAUUCCAGGUGUAGCGGUGAAAUGCGUAGAUAUCUGGAGGAACACCGGUGGCGAAGGCGGCAUUCUGGACCGAAACUGACGCUUAAGCGCGAAAGCCAGGGGAGCAAACGGG
rnacentral:rRNA from 1 species